AGGUCUCCUCUCUACGAUGACUACAGGUCUCCUCUCUAUGAUGACUACAGGUCUCCCUCCUCUCUAUGAUGACUACAGGUCUCCUCUCUAUGAUGACUACAGGUCUCCUCUCUAUGAUGACUACAGGUCUCCUCUCUAUGAUGACUACAGGUCUCCUCUCUAUGAUGACUACAGGUCUCC